rnacentral:rRNA from 1 species
CAUAACUGACGCUAAGGCGUGAAAGCGUGGGGAGCAAACAGGAUUAGAUACCCUGGUAGUCCACGCCCUAAACGAUGAACACUAGUCGUCGGGAUGCUAGUCAUCUCGGUGAUGCACUUAACAGAUUAAGUGUUCCGCCUGGGGAGUACGGUCGCAAGAUUAAAACUCAAAGGAAUAGACGGGGACCCGCACAAGUGGUGGAGCAUGUGGUUUAAUUCGAAGAUACGCGAAGAACCUUACCUAGCCUUGACAUUGAAAGAAUCUUCCAGAGAUGGAGGAGUGCCCUUCGGGGAGCUUGAAAACAGGUGCUGCACGGCUGUCGUCAGCUCGUGUCGUGAGAUGUUGGGUUAAGUCCCGCAACGAGCGCAACCCUCGUCCUUAGUUGCCAGCAGUUCGGCUGGGCACUCUAAGGAGACUGCCUUCGCAAGGAGGAGGAAGGUGAGGACGACGUCAAGUCAUCAUGGCCCUUAUGGCUAGGGCUACACACGUGCUACAAUGGGGCGUACAGAGUGUUGCGAUACCGCGAGGUGGAGCUAAUCACUUAAAGCGUCUCUCAGUUCGGAUUGGAGUCUGCAACUCGACUCCAUGAAGCUGGAAUCACUAGUAAUCGUAGAUCAGCAAUGCUACGGUGAAUACGUUCCCGGGUCU